rnacentral:lncRNA from 1 species
GGGCAUUUCUGUGGAUAUUCAACAUAUUUCAUGAGGGGAAUCAUCGGUUGUAUCUGGCAACCAGCUAGAGUCAGGAACAAAGCAGUGAAAUGGAGGACGGACAGAGCUGGAUGAUGACUACCGUUAAACUAGAAGAAGAAGAAGAAAAGGAACAAAUAUUAAGGAGGGAAGUGAAACUGAGUAUGAGUAAGACGGACAGUGAUGAUGAUGAUGAUGAAGGCUGCAGGAGGAAAGCUGUGCUGGAGGAGCUUCGUCAUCCCGACCAUGUGUGGGACGGAAUGUUUGCUCCAAAGAUGGAGAAAGCGGAGAAGAAGAAACGGAGGAGUUUUCAGAUGUGUGCUCUGUGAAGGAAGAGCAAUGCAUGUCUAAACGUUUUGAUGGAUCACAACAAGCUUUGGAUCUGAACAGUAUUCACACAGACACAGUGAUGCGUUUCCAUCUGCUGAAGCACACACGACUGAAUGUGGUGACGUUCCUCAACGAGCUGCCAUAAACUCAGCAUGACAUCAUCUCUUUCACCGUGGACGUAAACGCCUACACAGUGAGUUCAUGUCUGAUCUGCCACACACUGAGUUACAUCAUUUAUGUUGUUCACUCUCAGCCAAACUGCUUUGUUUUCACAGAAUACGCUGCUGUCAUUCACAGUGGGCGGAGUCUUCAAAGAAGUUGUUGUAGAUGAUAAAUCUAAAGAAUCUACAAGGUUUUCAUCACAGUUCCAGCAGUGGAUUCUGGUUUGUGCAUCAUCAACGACCAGCUCUUCAUCAGAAUGGCUACAACGGAGCAGAUCAGCAGAGCUUUUGUGCCCCGCCCCCUUCCUCCAGCCCAGUGCCCACCCUCACUGCCCCACAGCAGGAGAUGCUCAGCACCUUCUCCCUGAAGUCAGAUAUGAACCUGGAAUGAUCCCUGAAGUGUUUGCAGGACAACAAGUGGGACUUGAACAAAGCAAAACUGUUUUCCAAAUAUUUUCACUAAAAUCAGAGUUAAUAACUUUUAAAAUAUAAUUUAUUUUCAAAGGAAGAAGAAAAACAUUAUGGUUCAAUGUCUGCUUAAAUAAUUUAUUUCUCUUUUUUAAUAAACACUUUUUUUCAAAUAAAGUAAAAGCA